ensembl:lncRNA
UAAUUGUGAUGGACGCUGUAGGAGAGAGGAAUAAUGUUGUGGGGGAGACAAAAGGAAGGACAACUGUCAACCAGCAAGAGAUGAUUCAAACACAGCUCUCUAAUCCAUCCCCAGCGCGUCAAAUUAGCACCCGGCAGAUUCCUGCUACAAAGAACCAGGCAACCGAAAAAGCCUGGAGACAGGCUGAUUGGUGCUGCGAGCCCUACACAGUAUGGUGUCUCGAGCAUGGCUGGUGCCGUCACUGGGUGAGUGAGUGGAGGAUUGGGGAGCUGGUGGGGCUCCCCCCAUCCUCCUCCAAACACACUCUCUGAGCAGAGGCUCUAUCCAGCCUAGGCCUCCGAGUACAAGUGGAUCUCCAUGAGAAUGGCCGUGGAGGCACAAAGAGAUGAAAAGGACCUGAGCCCUAGGACCGUGCCUCAGGACUACCUGGCAUGAUGACUCCUUGCUGUCCCCAGUCCACCUGGCAGUGCUGCCGCUCCAGUUUCAACUGUUCUGCCUGCGGCUAUGGAAUCCUGACCUGUUCACCGGACGUGCUACCUGUCCCAGACCUAUUAUUUGACCAUGCUGGUAAUUUAUGAACAUUUGAACAUCUUGGCCAUGUUCUGUUAUAAUCAGAACAUGGCCAAGAAUGCCAAGCGUGUGAAAAGAAGAAAGGAACUCCUUCAAGACUAUUGGAAAAGCAUUCCAGGUGAAGCUGGUUGAGAGAAUGCC